rfam:Oryza barthii chromosome 2, whole genome shotgun sequence.
AAAAAAGACAAACCCGGAUUUCCGUGUACAACGUUUGACUAUCCGUCUUAUAUAAUUUUUUUUUAUAAUUAGUAUUUUCAUUGUUGUUAGAUGAUAAAACAUGAUUAAUACUUUAUGCAUGACUUGUCUUUUUAAAUUUUUUUCAUAAUUUUUUCAAAUAAGAUGGAUGGUUAAAUGUUGGACUCGGAAACCCAGGGUUUGUCUUUUU